rnacentral:rRNA from 1 species
UACGUAGGGUGCAGGCGUUAAUCGGAAUUACUGGGCGUAAAGCGUGCGCAGGCGGUCUUUUAAGUCAGAUGUGAAAUCCCCGGGCUUAACCUGGGAACUGCGUUUGAAACUGGAAGGCUUGAGUGUGGCAGAGGGGGGUGGAAUUCCACGAGUAGCAGUGAAAUGCGUAGAGAUGUGGAGGAACACCGAUGGCGAAGGCAGCCCCCUGGGCUAACACUGACGCUCAUGCACGAAAGCGUGGGGAGCAAACAGG